CCUACGGGUGGCAGCAGUGAGGAAUAUUGGUCAAUGGGCUUACGCCUGAACCAGCCAAGUCGCGUGAGGGAAGACUGCCCUAUGGUUUUUAAACCUCUUUUGUCAGGGAGCAAUUGGCGCUACGUGUAGCGUUAUCGAGAGUACCUGAAGAAAAAGCAUCGGCUAACUCCGUGCCAGCAGCCGCGGUAAUACGGAGGAUGCGAGCGUUAUCCGGAUUUAUUGGGUUAAAAGGGUGCGUAGGCGGAAAGCAAAGUCAGCGGUAAAUGCGCGGGCCUCAACCUCGCUCCGCCGUUGAAACUGGCGUGCUUGAGUGGGCGAGAAGUAUGCGGAAUGCGUGGUGUAGCGGUGAAAUGCAUAGAGAUCACGAAGAACUCCGAUUGCGAAGGCAGCAUACCGGCGCCCAACUGACGCUGAAGCACGAAAGCGUGGGUAUCGAACAGGAUUAGAUACCCGAGUAGUC
rnacentral:rRNA from 1 species